CGUCGUUUCUCUCGAUGCUGCUUGCCACUCUUGGAUCCCCUUUAAUCAACACCUAUCCUUGAUUUCAGUUGUCGGUCAAGAGACUUCAUAGUGGGUUUUGCUCUUAUACUUGCCACUUCCUGCUUCUAGCCUUGCCAGUUUUCAUGAUCGGCAGUUAGUGGCCCUGCCGACAUCUCUAUUUCCCGCCACGUUUUUGUCUGUAUUCUACAACAACCGAAAAUUGAGGUUUCAUAUUAACGCCCAUCUCUUCUCUCUUCAUUCUUCUCAAAUUUUCAACCACAACUUUUUGUCUGUAUUCUACAACAACCGAAAAUUGAGGUUUCAUAUUAACGCCCAUCUCUUCUCUCUUCAUUCUUCUCAAAUUUUCAACCACAACCUUACUCUAAAUACUUUUUAUUCUAUUUCUCUUUCUUUCGUUGCAAAAGGAUCCGUAGUAGUUUUCCCCACCGCCUCCUCGUGUUCCCCCCGGACACCUGACGUUGCCGGCAGACGUCCCUGUUUCACCCACCAGAUGACGCCUCCUGUUAUGGUCCAGGUAAUGGGUUCUAUUUUUGUUGAUGUUGAUUUGUAGUAGAAACAAUCAAUUGAA
rnacentral:lncRNA from 1 species